AGCUCCGCGAGUGGUCGGGACGAUUAUUGGGCCUAAAGCGUCCGUAGCCGGCCUAACAAGUCUCUGGUUAAACUUCAAGGCUUAACCUUGAGAUUGCUGGAGAUACUGUUAGGCUAGGAGGCGGGAGAGGUUGAGGGUACUUCACGGGUAGGGGCGAAAUCCUAUAAUCCGUGAAGGACCACCAGUGGCGAAGGCGCUCAACUGGAACGCGCUCGACGGUGAGGGACGAAAGCCAGGGGAGCAAAGGGG
rnacentral:rRNA from 1 species